rnacentral:lncRNA from 10 species
ACUGGAUUAUUUGAGGCCCUCUGUCUGAGGUGAGGCCCGCCUCAGUCCUCCCUCAGCGUCUUACCUUGCCUCCUCACCGAGCCUGGGCCGGCUUCCCUCCGCCGACGUCAGGCCGUCGCUCGUUGCUCAGGGCGAGAAUCUCGCGGUCUUCUGACCUCCAAUGCGCAAGUCAGUGGCGUCACAUCCUGGCAACGGUACUACCCUGGGUUCCGGGCAGGGGUGGAACUGGAUUCUGCCUGGAUGGGGAUCGGAUGGGGGUGGAGGUUUGAUUUGGGAAGCAGAGCACAGCAGCCCAAAUUUGUUGUAAUGGCGGCGGCUACAGGUUUCCUAGGUGUCCCCUGGGCUAGAGAAUGCUGCGUUUGCUACGCCGGGUCAGGACUUGGCAUAUGGCAUAAGACACACAGAGAGAGCCUUGCUGGUGUAGCUGAGAUUUACGACCCUCAUCCAACCAAACCAUUUCAGAUUCUUGGGGCUCAGAGCUCUCAUCGGAAAGACAUCUAUUCUGGGAGCAGGUACCCUUGUGACUAUGAAGAUUGACAAAAAGUUGACGGCAACGAUGAAUUCUCUUCCAGAACUUACAUCCCAGAAGGCCCUCCCCUACUUCGGGUCUCCCUAGAGAGUGGAGAGACCUGCUGCCCUUGAAGAAGCAAACAGCCAUGUUGUGAGCUGCCUAAGCCUCUAGGUCUUGAGGGAAGCUUACAGUUAAGAGCCAGCAAAAGCCAGGGCCCUCAGUCAUAGGACCCAGCUGAGCUGUACCCAGACUCCUAACCCACGGAAACUGAGAAAAUAAAUGUGUGCUAUUUAUAGCUGCU